AGUAACGCGUGAGGAACCUGCCUUCCAGAGGGGGACAACAGUUGGAAACGACUGCUAAUACCGCAUGACACAUUUGAAUCGCAUGGUUUGAAUGUCGAAGAUUUAUCGCUGGAAGAUGGCCUCGCGUCUGAUUAGCUAGUAGGCGGGGUAACGGCCCACCUAGGCGACGAUCAGUAGCCGGACUGAGAGGUUGACCGGCCACAUUGGGACUGAGAUACGGCCCAGACUCCUACGGAAGGCAGCAG
rnacentral:rRNA from 1 species